rnacentral:rRNA from 1 species
ACUCCUACGGGAGGCAGCAGUAGGGAAUCUUCCACAAUGGGCGCAAGCCUGAUGGAGCAACACCGCGUGAGUGAAGAAGGGUUUCGGCUCGUAAAGCUCUGUUGUUAAAGAAGAACACGUAUGAGAGUAACUGUUCAUACGUUGACGGUAUUUAACCAGAAAGUCACGGCUAACUACGUGCCAGCAGCCGCGGUAAUACGUAGGUGGCAAACGUUAUCCGGAUUUAUUGGGGCGUAAAGAGAGUGCAGGCGGUUUUCUAAGUCUGAUGUGAAAGCCUUCGGCUUAACCGGAGAAGUGCAUCGGAAACUGGAUAACUUGAGUGCAGAAGAGGGUAGUGGAACUCCAUGUGUAGCGGUGGAAUGCGUAGAUAUAUGGAAGAACACCAGUGGCGAAGGCGGCUACCUGGUCUGCAACUGACGCUGAGACUCGAAAGCAUGGGUAGCGAACAGGAUUAGAUACCCUGGUAGGAUAGCG